GCAUGGGUGGCUCAGUUGGUUGAGCAUCUGACUUCAGCUCAGGUCAUGAUCUCGUGGUCUGUGAGUUCAAACCCCAUGUG
rnacentral:tRNA from 1 species